rnacentral:misc_RNA from 1 species
GAUGAAGAACGCAGCGAAAUGCGAUAAGUAAUGUGAAUUGCAGAAUUCAGUGAAUCAUCGAAUCUUUGAACGCACAUUGCGCCCCCUGGUAUUCCGGGGGGCAUGCCUGUUCGAGCGUCAUUACAACCCUCAAGCUCUGCUUGGUAUUGGGCCCCGCCAGUUCUGGCGGGCCCUAAAGUCGGUGGCGGUGCCUUCCGGCUCCGAGCGUAGUAAUUCUUCUCGCUCUGGAGACCCGGUUGUGUGCUUGCCAACAACCCCCAAUUUUUUAAGGUUGACCUCGGAUCAGGUAGGGAUACCCGCUGAACUUAAGCAUAUCAAUAAGCGGAGGA